rnacentral:lncRNA from 1 species
UUAGGCAACAUUAGUUACCAUAAAUUAUCAUCUAUAUUUCACAGAUAAAGAAACUAAGAACUGGCAGAUUGGGAAGUGGACUCCUCAAGGUCAAACACAUGGUUAAUAAAUGGUGGAAAAGAUAUUAAGAAAACAGAACAUACAUCUUGUACCUGGUGUGGUGCUUAUUCACCAACAGAAGUUCAGAAGAAAACUGGUUUAUGGUUGGCACCGACACUGAAC